CCGGGGGUAGGGAGGUAAUAGUUCUGGGAAACGGCUCGAUGGAGGGGGAUAACUACUGGAAACGGUAGCUAAUACCGCAUAACGUCGCAAGACCAAAGAGGGGGACCUUCGGGCCUCUUGCCAUCGGAUGUGCCCAGAUGGGAUUAGCUAGUAGGUGGGGUAACGGCUCACCUAGGCGACGAUCCCUAGCUGGUCUGAGAGGAUGACCAGCCACACUGGAACUGAGACACGGUCCAG
rnacentral:rRNA from 1 species